CAGUCGCCGCGGUAAUACGGAGGGUGCAAGCGUUAAUCGGAAUUACUGGGCGUAAAGCGCACGCAGGCGGUCUGUCAAGUCAGAUGUGAAAUCCCCGGGCUUAACCUGGGAACUGCAUUUGAAACUGGCAGGCUAGAGUCUUGUAGAGGGGGGUAGAAUUCCAGGUGUAGCGGUGAAAUGCGUAGAGAUCUGGAGGAAUACCGGUGGCGAAGGCGGCCCCCUGGACAAAGACUGACGCUCAGGUGCGAAAGCAUGGGGAGCAAACAGGAUUAGAUACCCGCGUAGUCCCUGUCUCUUAUAC
rnacentral:rRNA from 1 species